UCCAGGGCAAUUAAUGUGUCAAACAGUAAGAGGCGAUUGAACCAGAUGUCAUGCAAUACAACAGAUUCCUGAUGAUGAGUAAGAAUACCUUGGCUAUGAAGAAAGUCCACGGGUUCUGCAUAAAUUGGUGGUUUCUCCUGCUGUCUCUUGUAUCAUUUUAAGGACAUCCAAACCUCUUUUGAACACUCUAGAAGAAGAAGAAGAAGAAGAAGAAGAUGUAUCCACCUCCAUCAGCUCAGGAGAUGUCAUACUAUGAACAUGUCCAGAAGAGGCAUGAAGAGAAGGGCUGCCUCUAUGCAUGUUUGUUUGCUGCUUGUUGCUGUUUCUGUUGCUUUGAAACUUGUGAGUGCUGUCUGGAUGUCCUCUGCUGCUGCUGUUGAACAAGUUCUACUUGGAAAUUAAUGCAACUCUUUAUGCAUGUGUUGAUUUAUGCAUCCUGUGCUCUAUGUUUGUACUUAAUAAAGUGCAUGUAACUUUCUCUUCACUGAGAGAGAAACAUGUUGUAUUUGUGCUCAAUUAUCUUGCUCUAAGUUGAUCAUUUCUUUAAAAUGAUAUUGUUAAUAACUCUGAUAA